rnacentral:rRNA from 1 species
CCUACGGGAGGCAGCAGUGGGGAAUAUUGGACAAUGGGGGCAACCCUGAUCCAGCAAUGCCGCGUGUGUGAUGAAGGCCUUAGGGUUGUAAAGCACUUUCACUGGUGAAGAUGAUGACGGUAACCAGAGAAGAAGCCCCGGCUAACUUCGUGCCAGCAGCCGCGGUAAUA